AGCAGCCGCGGUAAUUCCAGCUCCAAUAGCGUAUAUUAAAGUUGUUGCAGUUAAAAAAGCUCGUAGUUGAAUUUCGGGAUCGAUUUACUGGUCGUGCCUAUGGUACGUACUGGUUUUGUUUUCCGAAGAGCCGCGAUGUCAUUAAUUUGGUGUUGCGGGGAAUCGGGACUGUUACUUUGAAAAAAUUAGAGUGUUUAAAGCAGACUAUCGUCUGAAUACAUUAGCAUGGAGUAAUGAAAUAGGACGGACUGAUUCUAUUUCGUUGGUUUCUAGGAUCACCGUAAUGAUUAAUAGGGAUAGUUGGGGGCAUUAGUAUUCAAUUGUCAGAGGUGAAAUUCUUGGAUUUAUUGAAGACUAACUACUGCGAAAGCAUUUGCCAAGGAUGUUUCAUUAAUCAAGAACGAAAGUUAGGGGAUCGAAGACGAUCAGAUACCGUCGUAGUCUUAACCAUAAACUAUGCCGACUAGGGAUCGGACGAAGUUAAUUUAUAAUGACGCGUUCGGCGCCUACGGGAAACCUGAGCGGGCU
rnacentral:rRNA from 1 species